UUCAUAAUCGGGAGCGUCCUUAUAUUAAAAUAGUCUUCUUCUCACAACGAAUAAUACUUUAGCUAUUUGACCAACGAUGUUUAAAAAAAAAGACAACGAAUUUAAUGUCAUCUUAAUUUCCCUAUUUUUGAAUGUAAUUAUAAGUCUGUUCAACUGGCAAGAAUACCCCUAAAGCGGACAAGCAGUUUAUUCUUUAAAUUGCUGUCAUUGAAUAUCAAGAAAGAAAAUAAAUCCCGAAAUCAAUUUGAAACUUUAAUACUCAAAAGUUUUCCUAGAAAAUAUUCACAUCCCUUGGGGUUUAUUAGUGUACGUCCAGUUGCAUAUGUUUUACAUGAAUGUCGGAACAAUUGUGAUGAUGUCGAAUUUCUUCCUUUAUUGGAGAACGAUCUAAUUGAUAUAUAAAUUUGUGAUUUUACUAUGUUCAUAACUUCGAUGAACCGAAGCAAGUUAUUAUAUCGACCUGUAUUUAAAUCAAAUUGGUCUCUUCUUCUUCUUCUUCUUUUGGUAUACAAUAGUCUAUCGAAUUCGAUGAUUACAUACUGUUGGCAUACGUGGACUAGUCUAUUUACAAAACUGUUACCCCAAUUUACACAAAAUGUAUGUUUCUUUCUUAUGUUCAAUGUAUACAUGUAUAUAUUUUAAAUUGCGAUAUAGCUCCGUAACUUUCUAUCCAGGCGUAGAAAUGAAUCGUCGACAAGUGCGUACAUUUUUUUAAA
rnacentral:lncRNA from 1 species